rnacentral:lncRNA from 1 species
UUACUUUUACCUUAUUCCCACUCGUGUUUUGUUUUGAUUAUUUUUUGUAGUAAUUGUCUUAACUUCCUGUUUAUUUUUAUAUUUUUAAUUAUAUUAUAUUCUGUAAUGCGAUUUACAUAUUUUGUUUACACUUUGUUAUUAUUAAAUCCAUCUAAUUGGUUUAUUUUUUGUCACAUGAUGCUUUCAUACUCUUAGUAUAAAAGCCCGUGCAUUUUCCCCGAUCCCUGGGAAGGGCCUUCGCUCGAAACGUCGAGUUUCUGCUUAUUUUUUAAGGAAGUAAUAUAACCACUCAGCAGAGCAUUUUCACAUUGGUACUACCUACACUGGUACAGACAGUUUUAGCAUAAAACCUGCCUCUCUGAUUCUUUUCGUAAGCUCUUGAUCCAUUUUCGGUAAUGUAUUUCAAUUUAAAAACACAACACGGACUUUCAAAGUAAAAAAUAAUAUUUGGUAUUAUAUGGAAUGCUUGCAGCUGGCAAUAGAUUAACAGCCUCUCGCAAAAUAGGCUUGAGUUGCACGCGCUGGAUACCUAUGGCAUUGUGAAAUUAUAGCGUCAUAAUAAGGUCAUAUUACUAUUCAUCAUGUUUUUGACACUAAUCCGGAAAUUGAACUUGUUGCUUUGUAUGAGGACUGAGGCGCCCAGGUGCUGUUAUAUCCUUCGAUCUUAUUAGUAUAAACUUUACAAUCCUGGGGCCGGUUAACUUUACCACUGGAUAGUGAUUUUUCAACCGUUGUAAAAAUGCUCGAAAAUAUAUAGGCCAUAGGGUCCUGUCAAUUGAUAAAAAGAAAGUUCAACUUAAAAAUAUCGAAGUUUAAUCUGAAUCAGACCAGUCAACAGGUUGUUUUAGGAAGCCUGAAAGAAAAAUACCGGAUAGCGCUAUCCAACUUUCGAACAACCGACCCCUUGUGUCAAAACGUUCAGGCAAACCACGCAGUAAUAUUGUUAGUUUAUAAUCAGUGCAGCAAAAUAUUCAUCCACUCCCAGCGAUUGAAGCCAGGUGUGAAAAGAUGACAAACUAGUAGCGGAAAGGCUACCUGCAAUAAAAUAUACUAACACACAAGGCUACUUUUCAUGUGUUGCAUUGCAAAGCACAGCG